rnacentral:rRNA from 1 species
AUCGACAUUUUGAACGCACAUUGCGGUCCACGGAUCCAAUUCCCGGACCACACCUAGCUGAGGGUC